GUGGGGAAUCUUGCGCAAUGGGCGAAAGCCUGACGCAGCCAUGCCGCGUGAAUGAUGAAGGUCUUAGGAUUGUAAAAUUCUUUCACCGGGGACGAUAAUGACGGUACCCGGAGAAGAAGCUCCGGCUAACUUCGUGCCAGCAGCCGCGGUAAUACGAAGGGGGCUAGCGUUGCUCGGAAUUACUGGGCGGAAAGGGCGCGUAGGCGGACAGCUUAGUCAGAGGUGAAAGCCCAGGGCUCAACCUUGGAAUUGCCUUUGAUACUGACUGUCUUGAGUUUGGGAGAGGUGAGUGGAACUCCGAGUGUAGAGGUGAAAUUCGUAGAUAUUCGGAAGAACACCAGUGGCGAAGGCGACUCACUGGCCCAAUACUGACGCUGAGGCGCGAAAGCGUGGGGAGCAAACAGGAUUAGAUAACCUUGUAGUCC
rnacentral:rRNA from 1 species